rnacentral:rRNA from 1 species
AUUGAACGCUGGCGGCAGGCCUAACACAUGCAAGUCGAGCGGAUGAAGGGAGCUUGCUCCUGUAUUCAGCGGCGGACGGGUGAGUAAUGCCUAGGAAUCUGCCUGGUAGUGGGGGAUAACGUCCGUAAACGGGCGCUAAUACCGCAUACGUCCUGAGGGAGAAAGUGGGGGAUCUUCGGACCUCACGCUAUCAGCUGAGCCUAGGUCGGAUUAGCUAGUUGGUGGGGUAAAGGCCUACCAAGGCGACGAUCCGUAACUGGUCUGAGAGGAUGAUCAGUCACACUGGAACUGAGACACGGUCCAGACUCCUACGGGAGGCAGAAGUGGGGAAUAUUGGACAAUGGGCGAAAGCCUGAUCCAGCCAUGCCGCGUGUGUGAAGAAGGUCUUCGGAUUGUAAAGCACUUUAAGUUGGGAGGAAGGGCAGUAAGUUAAUACCUUGCUGUUUUGACGUUACCAACAGAAUAAGCACCGGCUAACUUCGUG